rnacentral:rRNA from 1 species
ACACAUGCAAGUCGAACGGAAAGGCCCUGCUUUUGUGGGGUGCUCGAGUGGCGAACGGGUGAGUAACACGUGAGUAACCUGCCCUUGACUUUGGGAUAACUUCAGGAAACUGGGGCUAAUACCGGAUAGGAGCUCCUGCUGCAUGGUGGGGGUUGGAAAGUUUCGGCGGUUGGGGAUGGACUCGCGGCUUAUCAGCUUGUUGGUGGGGUAGUGGCUUACCAAGGCUUUGACGGGUAGCCGGCCUGAGAGGGUGACCGGCCACAUUGGGACUGAGAUACGGCCCAGACUCCUACGGGAGGCAGCAGUGGGGAAUAUUGCACAAUGGGCGGAAGCCUGAUGCAGCAACGCCGCGUGCGGGAUGACGGCCUUCGGGUUGUAAACCGCUUUCGCCUGUGACGAAGCGUGAGUGACGGUAAUGGGUGAAGAAGCACCGGCUAACUACGUGCCAGCAGCCGCGGUGAUACGUAGGGUGCGAGCGUUGUCCGGAUUUAUUGGGCGUAAAGGGCUCGUAGGUGGUUGAUCGCGUCGGAAGUGUAAUCUUGGGGCUUAACCCUGAGCGUGCUUUCGAUACGGGUUGACUUGAGGAAGGUAGGGGAGAAUGGAAUUCCUGGUGGAGCGGUGGAAUGCGCAGAUAUCAGGAGGAACACCAGUGGCGAAGGCGGUUCUCUGGGCCUUUCCUGACGCUGAGGAGCGAAAGCGUGGGGAGCGAACAGGCUUAGAUACCCUGGUAGUCCACGCUGUAAACGGUGGGUACUAGGUGUGGGGUCCAUUCCACGGGUUCCGUGCCGUAGCUAACGCUUUAAGUACCCCGCCUGGGGAGUACGGCCGCAAGGCUAAAACUCAAAGGAAUUGACGGGGCCCCGCACAAGCGGCGGAGCAUGCGGAUUAAUUCGAUGCAACGCGUAGAACCUUACCUGGGUUUGACAUGGAUCGGGAGUGCUCAGAGAUGGGUGUGCCUCCUUUGGGGUCGGUUCACAGGUGGUGCAUGGCUGUCGUCAGCUCGUGUCGUGAGAUGUUGGGUUAAGUCCCGCAACGAGCGCAACCCUUGUUCACUGUUGCCAGCACGUUAUGGUGGGGACUCAGUGGAGACCGCCGGGGUCAACUCGGAGGAAGGUGGGGAUGACGUCAAGUCAUCAUGCCCCUUAUGUCCAGGGCUUCACGCAUGCUACAAUGGCUGGUACAGAGAGUGGCGAGCCUGUGAGGGUGAGCGAAUCUCGGAAAGCCGGUCUCAGUUCGGAUUGGGGUCUGCAACUCGACCUCAUGAAGUCGGAGUCGCUAGUAAUCGCAGAUCAGCAACGCUGCGGUGAAUACGUUCCCGGGGCUUGUACACACCGCCCGUCAAGUCAUGAAAGUUGGUAACACCCGAAGCCGGUGGCCUAACCGUUGUGGGGGAGCCGUCGAAGGUGGGACUGGUGAUUAGG